GAUUAACGCUGGCGGCGUGCAUAACACAUGCAAGUCGAACGAUGAAACUUUAAUGAACCCUUCGGGGAGAAUUAAAGCGGAUUAGUGGCGAACGGGUGAGUAACGCGUGAGUAACCUGCCUUACACAAGGGGAUAGCCUUUGGAAACGAAGAAUAAUACCCUAUAAAACCAUAAAAGCACAUGCAAUUAUGGUCAAAGUGAUAGCGGUGUAAGAUGGACUUGCGUCUGAUUAGCUAGUUGGUGAGAUAAAGGCCCACCAAGGCAACGAUCAGUAGCCGGCUUGGGAGAGUGUACGGCCACAUUGGGACUGAGACACGGCCCAGACUCCUACGGGAGGCAGCAGUGGGGAAUUUUGCACAAUGGGGGAAACCCUGAUGCAGCGACGCCGCGUGAUUUAGAAGGCCUUCGGGUUGUAAAAAUCUUUUGUAUAGGAAGAAAAUGACAGUACUAUACGAAUAAGGUCCGGCUAAUUACGUG
rnacentral:rRNA from 1 species